rnacentral:lncRNA from 1 species
GUGGGGGCGAGGAUGGUGAGCCCGUUGUAGCUGUCGUAGAGCUGGCUGUUGAGCUGCGUGUCGACGCGCGUCUCGUGGAGGAGGCGGAGGAAGGUGCCGUACUUGCCGGACUUCUCGAGGACCGACGUCACGUUCGUCGGCGGGCCCGCGUCGGCGGCGGCGGCUCCGGGACCGUCCGCGGCUGCGGGGGCGGGCUUGGCUUUGGCCUUUUGGGCUGUGGCCAUGGUGGAGGCGGCUAGGAAGAGCGCGGCUAGGAGGAGGACCCGCGACGGCGGCGCCAUUGUUGGCGAAGAAGGUGGGUUGGUGGGGGAGGAGCGAAGCUAAGCUAGACGGAGAUCUGAGAGAGUGCAGCGGCUCGCGGUGUGUGUUUAAUAGACUUAUAGUGGUGGUGGGUGGCACGGGCCGUUCUUGGGCCACAAUCUCGCGGAGACCUUUUUUUUCUUUCCUCCUGACGUCUUCGGCUUUGGCGGGGCGAUGUGAUUCACGAGCUGCCUGCGUGG